rnacentral:rRNA from 1 species
GAUGAACGCUGGCGGCGUGCCUAAUACAUGCAAGUCGAACGAAACUUCUUUAUCACCGAGUGCUUGCACUCACCGAUAAAGAGUUGAGUGGCGAACGGGUGCGUAACACGUGGGCAACCUGCCCAAAAGAGGGGGAUAACAAUUGGAAACAGGUGCUAAUACCGCAUAACCAUAGUUACCGCAUGGUAACUAUGUAACAGGUGGCUAUACUACCGCUUUUGGAUGGGCCCGCUGCGCAUUAGCUAGUUGGUAGGGUAGAGGCUUACCAAGGCAAUGAUGCGUAGCGGCAUUGAGAGGUUGAUCGGCCACAUUGGGACUGAGACACGGCCCAAACUCCUACGGGAGGCAGCAGUAGGGAUUCUUGGAAAAUGGGCGAAAGCCUGAUGGAGCAACGCCGCGUGGGUGAGGAAGGUCUCCGGAUCGUAAAACCUGGUUGUUAGGGAAGAAAGUGCGUGAGAGUAACUGUUCACGUUUCGACGGUAUCUAACCAGAAAGCCACGGCUAACUACGUG